rnacentral:lncRNA from 1 species
CGCGCGCCCUGCCAGCCCGCCGGGCCACGCCCCUCCGCGCAGGCUCCCGGAAGGGAGGGGUUUAGUCCUGGGGUGACAGCGGCCGCCUCCCGGUACCCUGAGGGGAGCUCCAGAAGGCGGUAAUUGCAUUACUGUGAGGCAGCGACCCGGCGGCUCCAGUUCAGGCGGCAAUCUGGGUCAGAUUCUAGCUACAUCAGAAACUGGUCAUUUUCUAAAACUAAAGGAGAAAACUAGGAAGGGGUGAUGAAUUCUUUCUGAGUUUCGAGUUACAAAAUAAAACGUAAGUAUUGAUGAUUUCA